rnacentral:rRNA from 1 species
GCUUCGCUCUUAUGAAGUUAGCGGCGGACGGGUGAGUAACACGUGGGUAACCUGCCCAUAAGACUGGGGUAACUCCCGGGAAACCGGGGCUAAUACCGGAUAACAUUUUGAACCGCAUGGUUCGAAAUUGAAAGGCGGCUUCGGCUGUCACUUAUGGAUGGACCCGCGUCGCAUUAGCUAGUUGGUGAGGUAACGGCUCACCAAGGCAACGAUGCGUAGCCGACCUGAGAGGGUGAUCGGCCACACUGGGACUGAGACACGGCCCAGACUCCUACGGGAAGAACAAAUUGAGGAAAAA